UACGUAGGGUGCGAGCGUUGUCCGGAAUUACUGGGCGUAAAGAGCUCGUAGGUGGUUUGUCGCGUUGUUCGUGAAAACUCACAGCUUAACUGUGGGCGUGCGGGCGAUACGGGCAGACUGGAGUACUGCAGGGGAGACUGGAAUUCCUGGUGUAGCGGUGGAAUGCGCAGAUAUCAGGAGGGAGCACCGGGUGGCGAAGGCGGGUCUCUGGGCAGUAACUGACGCUGGAGGAGCGGAAAGCGUGGGGAGCGAACAGG
rnacentral:rRNA from 1 species